rnacentral:piRNA from 1 species
UCUCCAGACAGAAUGGCGUGCUUGUUGAC